UGUUUUGUGAAGCCAUGUCAGUGUGGUCACGUUAUGUCAGUUUUUGGUCUAAAACGUCAGCGCAGCCAGACGUUUCACUGGCGCGAGAGAAUCCCAGUAUUCGAGGGACUACCUCAUGUUUUUUGUCUCUGUUGAUACGGCAAAGUUCUUGUCGAAGGCAGGCGUCGUUUAUGUUGGAGACUGGAUCAAUAGUGAUUAGUGAGUUAGUGAGUCAACUUCGACGUCCGACGAGCUAUCAUGUGCAUGAAGUAGUGGACAGAGAUUCGUCGCAGUUGCUUCGAGAAAGACAGAAGCCAUUUGCACAUAGGAGGAACAGCACUGCUCCCAGUACUUAUCCUUAUCUUGUGCAGAUGGCUGUAAGACAUGCAGGAAGAGUGUCAGUAAGGUUCUGGAAGUUACCAACAGGGAUGUGGAGCCAUGUCAACUCCGAGGCCAGCUGCACUAGGUUUCUUGGUUAAGGAUACAUGGUGUGAACAUGCUGAUCAAGAUUUCUCACAGACUGUCUACCUGUGAAUACCACGUGCGUCAGAGCUCUACAGUCCCCACUUGCUGCCAGCCAGCAGUGGCUCCGUGGCGGCACUCCACUCCCUCGCAUUUCGUCGAAGACAUCAGCUGCCGCUAAUCACUUUGGAGAGUAUAAAAUGUUUGCUAUUGUUGAAUGAUGCUCCACAAAAAAGUCUAUGAUUUGUAUUUCAUGCUCAAUAGCAUCAAAAGCAGACAUGCACAUACAUCUCAAAAUUGUUAUAGUUUGUGAUCCCAUCUGACUACCUUACUACAUUGUUUAGUUUUAUCCUUAGUGAUUUAUAUCUAUUUUUUCCGUUUUAUGAGGGAUUCA